GGCUGUUUGGAAAUCUGUAAUACACAGCAAAGCCAGGCAUAUUGCCACACUCACGUUCAUAUAUCGAUUCAUCACUCUUCCAGUAGUAAGCAAUCUUUAACGUCUCAUAGAGAAAUUUCCCAAGUCUUCCUGCUUCAUAUUCAGUGCAACAGCAAAUCAUAGGUUGUAAUGUUUUGCAUAUCAGAACAUCAAUAUGGUUCACUGUGUUGAAAAAUGGAGUCCCAAGGGAAUGAAGAGUAUGCAC
rnacentral:misc_RNA from 1 species